CCAAUCUUUUAGCGGGCCUUGGGUUCGUCCAUGGUCUCGCGAAACUUUGUAUUUAAAACCCGCUCAUGUAAAUUUUUUGAACUUAUAUAUAUUUGUAUUAUCAUAUAAAUAAAGA
rnacentral:misc_RNA from 1 species